UUGAAAGGGAAACGAUUGAAGUCAGUCGUACCAGCGGGAAAUCAACCUUUCGGGUGGGGUUUUGGAGUUUUGAAGAGUGUUAAAACCUUUGAGAUUUCAAAAUGUUUGCUCUUUUGGUGUACUUUCUCGUAGGUAGGUUAACAUCGAUUUUGAUCAUCAUAAAAGGAUUGGAGGAAUGUAGCUUCGAUCUCGUAUUGAAGUGUUAUAGCCUUUGGUAAAUGUGAUGAUUAGGAUCGAGGAUUGCAACGAAUACCCUUUUGGGCUAUCUGUCUGAUCUCUGAUACGUGGCCUUGGUAUUGAAAGCGCGCUUAUGAUAUUAAGGUAUUACGGUCAAAAGGUUAGAACGGAUUACAUUCGUUAAGGAUGUUGACGUA
rnacentral:rRNA from 1 species